rnacentral:rRNA from 1 species
GAUGAACGCUAGCGGCAGGCCUAACACAUGCAAGUCGAGGGGCAGCACGAUAAAGCUUGCUUUAUUGGUGGCGACCGGCGCACGGGUGCGUAACGCGUAUGCAACCUACCUUAUACUGGGGUAUAGCCCGGAGAAAUUCGGAUUAAUCCCCCAUAGUAUUGUCGAUUCGCAUGUUUUGACAAUUAAAGGUUACGGUAUAAGAUGGGCAUGCGUCCCAUUCGCUAGAUGGUGAGGUAACGGCUCACCAUGGCGACGAUGGGUAGGGGGCCUGAGAGGGUGGUCCCACACACUGGUACUGAGACACGGACCAGACUCCUACGGGAGGCAGCAGUGAGGAAUAUUGGUCAAUGGGCGCAAGCCUGAACCAGCCAUGCCGCGUGCAGGAAGACGGUCCUAUGGAUUGUAAACUGCUUUUAUUUGGGAAUAAACUCUCGGACGUGUCCGAGCCUGAAGGUACCAAAUGAAUAAGCACCGGCUAACUCCGUGCCAGCCGCCGCGGUAAAAC